rnacentral:rRNA from 1 species
UACGUAGGGGGCAAGCGUUGUCCGGAAUCAUUGGGCGUAAAGAGCGUGUAGGCGGCCAGGUAGGUCUGCUGUGAAAACUCGAGGCUCAACCUCGAGAUGUCGGCGGAAACCAUCUGGCUAGAGUCCGGAAGAGGAGAGUGGAAUUCCUGGUGUAGCGGUGAAAUGCGCAGAUAUCAGGAAGAACACCCGUGGCGAAGGCGGCUCUCUGGGACGGUACUGACGCUGAGACGCGAAAGCGUGGGGAGCGAACAGG